rnacentral:rRNA from 1 species
GACGAACGCUGGCGGCGUGCCUAAUACAUGCAAGUUGAGCGCUGAAGGUUGGUACUUGUACCAACUGGAUGAGCAGCGAACGGGUGAGUAACGCGUGGGGAAUCUGCCUUUGAGCGGGGGACAACAUUUGGAAACGAAUGCUAAUACCGCAUAAAAACUUUAAACACAAGUUUUAAGUUUGAAAGAUGCAAUUGCAUCACUCAAAGAUGAUCCCGCGUUGUAUUAGCUAGUUGGUGAGGUAAAGGCUCACCAAGGCGAUGAUACAUAGCCGACCUGAGAGGGUGAUCGGCCACAUUGGGACUGAGACACGGCCCAAACUCCUACGGGAGGCAGCAGUAGGGAAUCUUCGGCAAUGGACGAAAGUCUGACCGAGCAACGCCGCGUGAGUGAAGAAGGUUUUCGGAUCGUAAAACUCUGUUGGUAGAGAAGAACGUUGGAGAGAGUGGAAAGCUCAUCAAGUGACGGUAACUACCCAGAAAGGGACGGCUAACUACGU